rnacentral:rRNA from 1 species
UACGUAGGGGGCAAGCGUUGUCCGGAAUUAUUGGGCGUAAAGGGUGCGUAGGCGGCCGAUCAAGUCAGGUGUGAAAGACCCGUGCUUAACAUGGGGGUUGCACUUGAAACUGGUUGGCUUGAGUAUGGGAGAGGCAAGCGGAAUUCCCGGUGUAGCGGUGAAAUGCGUAGAGAUCGGGAGGAACACCAGUGGCGAAGGCGGCUUGCUGGACCAAAACUGACGCUGAGGCACGAAAGCGUGGGUAGCAA